AACGAACGCUGGCGGCAUGCCUAACACAUGCAAGUCGAACGAGACCUUCGGGUCUAGUGGCGCACGGGUGCGUAACGCGUGGGAACCUGCCCUUAGGUUCGGAAUAACUCCCCGAAAGGGGUGCUAAUACCGGAUAAUGUCUUCGGACCAAAGAUUUAUCGCCUUUGGAUGGGCCCGCGUUGGAUUAGCUAGUUGGUAGGGUAAAAGCCUACCAAGGCGACGAUCCAUAGCUGGUCUGAGAGGAUGAUCAGCCACACUGGGACUGAGACACGGCCCAGACUCCUACGGGAAGCAGCAGUGGGGAAUAUUGGACAAUGGGCGAAAGCCUGAUCCAGCAAUGCCGCGUGAGUGAUGAAGGCCUUAGGGUUGAAAAGCUCUUUUACCCGGGAUGAUAAUGACAGUACCGGGAGAAUAAGCUCCGGCUAACUCCGUG
rnacentral:rRNA from 1 species